GGGAAGGUAACUCAGUGGUAGAGUGCUUGCCUUGCAUACAUGAGGUCCUGGGUUCGAUUCCUCAGCACCA
rnacentral:tRNA from 1 species